AGCAGCCGCGGUAAUUCCAGCUCCAAUAGCGUAUAUUAAAGUUGUUGCAGUUAAAAAGCUCGUAGUUGAAUUUCGGGGUUAGUAGGUUGGUCAUGCCUCUGGUAUGUACUGGUCUCGCUGAUUCCUCCUUCCUGAUGAGCCGUAAUGCCAUUAAUUUGGUGUUUUGGGGAAUUUGGACUGUUACUUUGAAAAAGUUAGAGUGUUUAAAGCAGGCUCACGCUUGAAUACAUUAGCAUGGAAUAAUGAAAUAGGACGUUUGAUUCUAUUUUGUUGGUUUCUAGGAUCGACGUAAUGAUUAAUAGGGAUAGUUGGGGGCAUUAGUAUUCAAUUGUCAGAGGUGAAAUUCUUGGAUUUAUUGAAGACUAACUACUGCGAAAGCAUUUGCCAAGGAUGUUUUCAUUAAUCAAGAACGAAAGUUAGGGGAUCGAAGACGAUCAGAUACCGUCGUAGUCUUAACCAUAAACUAUGCCGACUAGGGAUCGGAUGAUGUUAAUUUUUUAAUGACUCAUUCGGCGCCUUA
rnacentral:rRNA from 1 species